UUGGACAUGGGCGAAAGCCUGAUCCAGCCAUGCCGCGUGUGUGAAGAAGGUCUUCGGAUUGUAAAGCACUUUAAGUUGGGAGGAAGGGCAUUAACCUAAUACGUUGGUGUUUUGACGUUACCGACAGAAUAAGCACCGGCUAACUUCGUGCCAGCAGCGCGGGUAAU
rnacentral:rRNA from 1 species